UACGGAGGGGGCUAGCGUUAUUCGGAAUUACUGGGCGUAAAGCGCACGUCGGCGGCUAUUCAAGUCAGAGGUGAAAGCCCGGAGCUCAACUCCGGAAUUGCCUUUGAAACUAGAUAGCUUGAAUCAUGGAGAGGUCAGUGGAAUUCCGAGUGUAGAGGUGAAAUUCGUAGAUAUUCGGAAGAACACCAGUGGCGAAGGCGACUGACUGGACAUGUAUUGACGCUGAGGUGCGAAAGCGUGGGGAGCAAACAGG
rnacentral:rRNA from 1 species